UACGGAAUGUGCAAACGUUAUUCGGAAUCACUGGGCUUAAAGAGUCCGUAGGCGGCCUGUUAGGUGAGGUGUGAAAUCCCCCGGCUCAACCGAGGAAUUGCGCUUCAAACCGGCGUGCUAGAGGAAGAUAGAGGUGGGCGGAACUGAUGGUGGAGCGGUGAAAUGCGCUGAUAUCAUCAGGAACACCGGAGGCGAAGGCGGCCCACUGGGUCUUUUCUGACGCUGAGGGACGAAAGCUAGGGGAGCGAACGGG
rnacentral:rRNA from 1 species